CCACGUCUCAGUUCGGAUCGGAGUCUGCAACCCGACUCCGUGAAGCUGGAUUCGCUAGUAAUCGCGCAUCAGCCAUGGCGCGGUGAAUACGUUCCCGGGCCUUGUACACACCGCCCGUCAAGCCAUGGGAGCCGGGGUACCUGAAGUCCGUAACCGCGAGGAUCGGCCUAGGGUAAAACUGGUGACUGGGCUAAGUCGUAACAAGGUAUC
rnacentral:rRNA from 1 species